rnacentral:rRNA from 1 species
AUACGGAGGAUGCGAGCGUUAUCCGGAUUUAUUGGGUUUAAAGGGAGCGUAGGUGGGAUAUUAAGUCAGCUGUGAAAGUUUGGGGCUCAACCUUAAAAUUGCAGUUGAUACUGGUUUCCUUGAGUACGGUAUAGGUGGGCGGAAUUCGUGGUGUAGCGGUGAAAUGCUUAGAUAUCACGAAGAACUCCGAUCGCGAAGGCAGCUCACCGGGCCGGAACUGACACUGAUGCUCGAAAGUGCGGGUAUCAAACAGGAUUAGAUACCCUGUAGUCCGCACAGUAAACGAUGAAUACUCGCUGUUUGCGAUACACUGUAAGCGGCCAAGCGAAAGCGUUAAGUAGUCCACCUGGGGAGUACGCCGGCAACGGUGAAACUCAAAUGAAUUGGCGGGU